GGCUGGGUAGCUCAGUUGGUACGAGCGACCGCCUGGCCCUGCCCGAUCGCGGCUCCGCCGCAGGCGGUAGGUCACCGGUUCGCCCCCGGCCCCAGCCA
rnacentral:tRNA from 1 species